CCUAUAAAUAGGACUCUCGGUCCUUUCCCUUGACAUCAGCACUUAAAUACACAAACUGACUAGUAGAAUAAAAAUUUCAUUACAAGAUAUACUAGUUAUAGAAAAUAGUUUAUAUUGAUUGGGAAUUUUUCACUAUUCUAUAUUUCAGUCAAUCAUUGAAUUGAGUAUCAUGAGAAUCUGGAGCGGGGGCCAGGAACAAGCAAGUUGAAUCACACAGGAAAGCUGCUGACUGCUACUCUGUAUAUUUUUCAAUAAGGAGUCCACUGUUUUCUGUGCCAUGCGAUUGAUACAAUGUAUAUCUGUGAGAACGGUCUUUCCACAGAUUUGGUACCUAAUCCAAGGAAUAGGGAUUGUUUAGAGAAUGAGGUUGUCGAUUGUGGUGUGAUUCAUACAAGUAGUUACUAGUAUUUCCAA
rnacentral:sRNA from 1 species